AGCAUGGGGCCUGAUAAAUAGUAAGCCCUUGGUAAUAAUUACAUCUUCCGUGAUGCUAGACACAGAGGGAUUGAAAUGCAUAACAAUAGAGAUGAAACACGAAGAGUGAUAAAUGAAGAUUGAGUGUGCACACCUUCUGGAGGAGCCCUGAUUGAGUAUUUUAAAAUACUACUAAAGUCAUGCCGUGUGACUUCUGAAGCUAGCUCCUAAGAAGUCCUUGCAGCUUCUGCCUGCGACUCUUAGAACACUUGCUUUGAAGGAUGCCAGAUGCUGUCUUAAAAGUCUGAGCACUCUGAAACCAUCAUGCUGUGAGGAAGCCCAAGCUAACCACAUGGGCAAAAAAGAUGCCCUCUGACUGCCACCAUUUGAGACACUCUAAUUAAGAACUGCCUCAUUGAGCCCAUGAGGCCCUGUGAAUGAUAAUAAUAAAUUGUUUUUAACCA
rnacentral:lncRNA from 10 species